rnacentral:sRNA from 1 species
GUGUGUGUGUCUGUGUGUGCGUGUGUAUGCAUGUGUGUCUUCUGUGUAGAUGUGUACCUCUGAGUGUGUAUGUGUGUAUCACUGUAUGCGUCUGUGUGUCUGUGUAUCUGUGUCUGGCUGUGUGUGUCUAUCUCUGUGUGUGUCUUGUGUGCAUGUCUAUGUGUGUGUGUGUCAGUGUAUCUGUGUCUGUGUCUAUCUCCGUGUGUGUGCAUGUGUGUAUGUGUGUGUCUUCUGUGUGUCUGUGUCUGGAAGGGGGACCUGGAGGCCCUGCAUUCUAGGCUGUGUGCCUGUGAACAGGUACUUAAUACCCACCCCACCCCCAGCAGGAGUGUCCCCACCUCUAAGGUCAUCCUAAAGUCCCAUGUCCUCUAAGGAUUGUGAGGGUGAACAGGGGACCCUGGGCUCAGAGACAGCAAGGUAGGCUCUGGGCCUGGGCGCUGGGCAGGGGUGGCCACUCAGGGGACUGGGGCUCUUUCUCCCCAGGCCCGAUGGCGGGUGCCAGAAAAUGGACACGACCUUCACCAAGGGUGCUGUACCGGGGCAGUUCAGCAACCCAGCUCGAGCGCCCGAGCUGUUUCCCGAAGGCGCCCAGAAGAUGCAGCUACUGGCGCCCCAAGUGGGCCUGAGCCCCAGCCAGGGCGUCCUGCUGCCGAAGUCGGGUGAGCGGUGCCGGCAGCCCUGCUGGGAGGGCCAGGCCCCGGGUCACACCCCUGCUGGGAGGGCCAGGCCCUGGUCACUCCACUGAUCUCAGAUUCGGGACAGAAGUGCCCGGGGCAGACCCAGCCUGUCUGGGUCGGGGGAGGGCGAGACGUUGCCCAGGCCAGUGUUCCCAGGAGGAGAUCGCCUUGGGGCAGGUCGGGGGCCUCCGUCCCAGGGAAGGGGGCGCGGGGUGGCGCCUCAGGCCCGAUCGCUCUGCAGACCAGUGUGCGGGCGCGCUCUCCCGGGUGAGUAGACCAUGGCCAUGCGGAGCCGCGGACCAUGGGCCCUCCCAGCUCGGUGGGCUGCACCGCGGGGCCCUCUACCUUCGGGGCAGCUAGGGACGACAGCGGGGGUGAUGGGGCACCCGGGCGGAUACGAGCCGCAGCAGCCUGGGGAACCGCGGGGCUGCGCGUCGGGAAGGGGCGGAGGCAGGGGACGCCCCCCACCUGCUCCUUGUUUUGCAGUGAGGGGUCCAGCCCCUGAGUGCCCGCAGGGGUCAGCUGCUCCGUGCGCCCAGCCCUCCCCAAAGAGCCCCCUCCCUCCACACCCUGGCCCCAAGCGCAAUAAACACCCUGAAUGCCUGUGGCGCUGUGCGUUUCUUGGGGGCAGGGAGGGGUGGCGGGGGGCGGCCAGGCGCCCCUCCGGGUCCCCCAGCUCCCCAGCCCCUGACUCCUGGCUCCAGGACCCGCCCCAGAGGCCUGACUGUUCCGGAGACCAACGAAGCGCUCCCAACUCUGACCCAGGGCCUGCCCACGGAGAGUGGAGAGCGAGGAGGACAGGAGGAGCCGCAUAAAACUCUGCCCUGCCUGGAGUCUAUGUAGGACAGUGUUGUCUUUUACAGACAAGUCUCGAAGAAUUUGAAGGAAAAUAGCCUACUAGCUGUAAUGUACCUAGUUCAGCAAAAUAAUAAUAAAAAUAAUAAUACUGGUUGC